CUACGGGCCGCUGCAGUGGGGAAUAUUGCACAAUGGGCGAAAGCCUGAUGCAGCAACGCCGCGUGCGGGAUGAAGGCCCUAGGGUUGUAAACCGCUUUCAGCAGGGAAGAAAAUGACGGUACCUGUAGAAGAAGGUGCGGCCAACUACGUGCCAGCAGCCGCGGUGACACGUAGGCACCAAGCGUUGUCCGGACUUAUUGGGCGUAAAGAGCUCGUAGGCGGUUCAGUAAGUCGGGUGUGAAAACUCUGGGCUCAACCCAGAGACGCCACCCGAUACUGCUGUGACUAGAGUGCGGUAGGGGAGCGGGGAAUUCCUAGUGUAGCGGUGAAAUGCGCAGAUAUUAGGAGGAACACCAGUGGCGAAGGCGCCGCUCUGGGCCGUAACUGACGCUGAGGAGCGAAAGCGUGGGUAGCAAACAGGAUUAGAUACCCUAGUAGUC
rnacentral:rRNA from 1 species